GAGAACAUAAGGAAUAUUAUUAUUUUUUGGGCCAUCUCACUGAGAUGAGUGCCAUUCCUCUGUGCAGCUCUGCUGCCACCUGACCCAGGUGGGAUGUGCAGGAGGAUGUGUGCAUGGAGGCUGUGCAGCCAGGAGUCCCUGCUAUGGACCAGGAGCAGAGGCAGCAGUGGCAGAGGGUCCCACCAGCAGCUUUUCUGCAAGACUGUGUGGAGGAGCAGUCAGUGUGCAGUGAGGGAUGGCAGGAGGUUUCCACUAGAGGUGAGGCAGCUGGUAUGAACAUCACUAAUUACAAUUUCAAUUGAAACACAAAUCCUGGCUCUGCAAGAAUGGUGCAAUUUAGAGAGUUAAAUGGGACUUGUGUGCAGACCUUCGUGAAUGUCAGUCUUUGGACAAGAGCCUAACAAAUACUGACUUGUUUAGGAACAAAUUUAGGGGCUAAUAUCUUUACCAACAGGAGGGGCAAGGUGAUGGUGUCCUCUGGAAUUUAAAUAUAACCUGCUACUCUACUGGAGUGAAAAGAGAGAUAUACAUUAAGGGAGACAUUUAUCUCCAUUUCUGGCACAACAGAUUCAUGUCCUCUCUGAAGUGAUCUGAAAAGUAGCUUCCAAUACACAAUAAAUUUUGCCUUUGUUUAUUAUUUCAGUAAUGGACUUGGCCCAAAUCAGAGCAUUUACCAUCUUUUACACCAUUUUUGUUUUGAAGCUUGUGGGGAAUUUUCUAACAUAGAAUUUAAUCCCAAAGAACAGGAAAAUGAUUCCAGAAAUUACUUGUGUUAUAUUGUAUAGUAACAGCGUGUGCUUUGGGAGUUAAAUUCAAGCCUUUAUAAGUAAUAAAUUGUGGACCACAGUGCACAUUGAUUACAUUCUGUAGGAUACUUUGUGAAAUUAUAGAAAAAUAUGUUUUUUUCCUGGCAGCUGUAAUGUUACAAUGAAAUCAGUUCCAGAUACCUGGCUGUUAUGCCUGAAGUAUCUUGGAGAAGCCUGGAUGUCGGUUUAUUCCAGGUGGUUCAAAGCAUGUGUGUGCAUUAAUCCAAUGCAUGUCUUAAUUUUUAAAAACUCUCUAGGUCUGAAAUAUUUGAACAUUGGCUUUCCAGGAACAUAGACACAGAAUUUGGUGUAAUGCUGUGUGGAUGUGAGGACUUAGAUCCACUUUACUCCCAGGAACACUUUAAAAUAGAUUACAGAUACAGUGAUAGGGCAAGAGGAAUGAUUUUAAGCUGAAGGAGUCAUAUUUACAUUAGAUAUUAGGAAGACAUUUACAUGAGGGUGGUGGGGCACUGGAACAGGUUGCCCAGAAAAGCUGUGGAUGCCCCACCUCUGGAAGUGUUCAAGGCCAGGUUUGAUGGGGUUUUGAGAAACCUGGAAUAGUGAAAGGAGUCCCUGCACAUGGCAGGGGGUUGGAAUUUGAUGAUCUUGAAGGAUCUUUCCAACUCACACCAUUCAAUGUUUCUAUGAUUUUUUUCAGCUUUGGAGAGUUGAUCAGAAAAAGCUUACAAGACAAAUUUUGCAGUGUUAGAAGAGGGAGGAAAAGGGACUGAACAAACAUAGGUUUGUGAUGCCUGAUCCCAAAAAUUUCAACUCUUUUAAUGAAGAUGUGUCCACAUAUUCAAACUUACAUCACUCAAAUAUUUAUUUAUUUCAUUCUUCCUUAUUAUUGGUGCUCACUGAAAAUCACAUGAUAGCAGAAAAGGUAUUUGAUAGUUGUGAAAUCAAUACUAAUUAUUCCUUUGCCAAAUUGUUUUAAAAGCACAUUUAGAUAAAUGCCAUAAGUAGAUGGGGAUGGUUUUUCCUGAAAAGCAGAAAUCUUGUGCACUGAAUAGUUUGCUCAUCUGUACUUGCAAUGGAAGUAAUUACCAUCACACUUUAGUGUCUGCUUUCAACAGAAUCAGCAGAACUUGAUUAAGCUUAAGAAUCAGCCAGAAGAUCCAGGAAGAAAAAAAUGGCAUAAAUCUAUAUUUAUUUGAAGAAAACGGUACAUGGAAAAAAACCUAGAAUGGCUUUGAUUGGAAGGAACCUUAAAAAUCAUCUAGUUCCAGCCCCACUCCCGUGGGCAGUGAUACCUUCUGCUAGACCUGGUUGCUCAGGAGCAUGGGAGGAGAGGCUGGAGCUGGAUUCUCUCACCCAGCUCAUCUCACUGGGGCUGGGCUGAACUGUCAGGCCAUGGAUAAAGCUCCUGCUCCAAUCAGGAUGGGAUGGGGGUGCCCACAGGUCUGUUCAAGCAUGGACAUGGCUGUAACUCAUGCAGAACCAGGUGUUCAUUAAUCAGCUGAAGGUCUGAUCUCUUGACACCAGUUUUGUAUGGAUCACUGAAGAAGGGUUGCACCUCUUUGGCUUUGUGGUGGCCUACACUUACCACAGUAUGUGUAUCCCUUUGUGAGGCAGUUUUAGGAAAAAAAGGCUCACUUUCACCAGGUGUGUCUCAUUUCCUUGGCUGCCCUAUAACCAAGGGAGGGAAGGACUCCCUAGGACACAGUUUGAGUGUCAGGCAGGAGGCAGGCAGCCCCAGGACUAAGGACAGCCUUUGUGGAUGCCUCUCAGUGCCUUGGAAACCUGCUCAUCUGACAAUCUUCAUAAGGGGAAGAGCCAUCAGAUGUCCCCAUGGCUCUGAUGCCCUCUCUGAUGGGACAGAACGACCUUGGGCAGACGGGUGGAGAUGAAGCAGCUCCUCGGGGGUCCCGCGGCUCUGCUCUCAGAGGAGGACCAGCAGCAUCUGCAGAUGGGUUCCUGAAUUUUCCCAGCCUCCCUGCAAGCACAUUUCACCCUUUACUGCUGCAGCAGCUCUUGCAGCAGUAGAACUUCAUUGCUUGUUGUGUGGUGUUAGCCAUUGCCACAGUGACACCUGAGGAGUUGCUGGGAGAGGUCACAGGGCACAACCCACCCCGAGGCAGGCAUUAUAACCAUGACCACGUUGGUGCUGUUGAAAGGUGAUCCUUAAAAUGUACUUCACAGGGUGUCUCUCUUCCAAGAGAGAUAUUUAAGCCAGGUGGAGCACAGUUAAACUCUGGGUCUGUGGAUAUUGUAUGGAUGAGAGAAGAGGUUCAUGUCUGUCAGCACCACAGAACUUCUUCCUCAAAAUCUCUGAGGUGAGACUCAGCCACUUCCCUGGGCAGCCUGUUCCAAAGCGUUGUCAGGGAAGUGGUGGAGUCAACACCCUGGAGGGGUUUAAAAGACAAGUAGAUGUGGCAGGUUUAGUGCUGAACCUGACACUGCUGGGUCAAGAAUGGGACUUGGUGAUCUUAGAGGUGUUUUCCAACCCAAAUGAUUCCAUAACUGUUGGGUUCUGUGGACUGGUUUCAUUUCUCAUCAGUGCAGCUUUGGUUUGUGACCUGCAGGACUGAACUGCAGCUUUGGUUUGUGAACUGCACUUCCUUGUGAGCCCUGAGCAGUGGCUCAACCACACCAGCGGUGGGCUUGAAGUGGGAGUGAAAAUGUGUAAAUCACAAUUCUCAUGAAAAGCCUGCAGGAUCACAGACCUGAAAAAUGCUGUUUGCAGCAGUGCUGUGUAAGCUGAUAGAAAGCAGAAAACAAUGGAAUUGGUGGAUAGUAUGAGGAGUGGGCUGGAUCUAUGUGGGGAGGGAAGGUGCUGGGAGAAUUGUGCUUAAAAGAAGCAGCUGAGACUAAGAAAAAGGGUGUUCUCAAUGUCUUGGUGUCAUUUUGGAGUCAACAUGUAGGCUGAAUAAUGUGAUUUUUCUCCUCCCUGAAAGCACUCACCAGAAGCCAGGAUUUUGACCUGGUCAGGCAGGCUGAGAGCACCCACUGAGCACCUCUAAAGUUGCUUGGCAAAUUCAAACAAGGGGAACAGUUCCUGUUUGUAAAAAACAGUGGAUUUUGCCUGGGAGACUAAAUUAAAAAAUGUUUUGCUGUACCUGAGCCAUCCUGUCAUGUAUAAACCCAGGCUUUAGCAGUCAACCCCCAAAAAUUCUGAAUCCAUGUUAUCACACAUGUUAUUUUCUACACACAUUUUGCUAGAGUGCAUAAAAAGAUGCAGGCAUCAAUAGAUUAAUAUAACUCCCCAUUCUACUGCCAACAUAAACUAAGCAAUAUAGAAAGGACUCCACUAUUUCAGUAUUAACAAGAUCAUAAAAAUUCAUGAGGCAUUCAAAGCUGCUAGUUAAGCUGUGUGAGAAUUUCUGAAUAUGCUCUGUGUAGGACUUGACUGAAAAUAACUCACAAAAACUUAGUUUCAGUGGCUUUUUAAGCUGCUCUAAGUUCUACAAGAACUAUGAUUUUCCUAUUGUUAUUUGUUAUUGUUAUUUGGCCCUGGAUUUGCACAGACAGCUCUCCCAGAAUCACACAGAUAUUACAAACUUUGCAUCAAUAACUGGGUGUAAAUGUAGAAAAAGCCAAAGCAGCAGGGACCUGGAAUACCUCUUCACUAAUUAUACACAGUUGUAUUUCUAUUUGAAGGACUAGAACUAUUCCAGUGAUGAUUUCUAGAACUUCUCCUUUCUAACUAAAGAAACCAAAUCACUAAACUCUGACAGAUACAUAAAUAAUUUAUAAAUCUGUGAACUGGUCUGGAAAAGUGCUUCAGUUUGUGCAAUUUAGUAAAGACAUACAUGAUGCAAGGAGAUACAGUUUACUGAACUACUUCUAUUAAAAAUAGAAAAAAAUGUUUAUGUUGUACAGCACAUAAAGCUGUAUUUCAUAUGUUUUUGUGUGCGUAUAUAUAUGUAUAAAAUAAUCUAAAUAUAAAGAACUCUGCAUGAAAAAAUAUAUAUAAUUAUUCCCCUAUGCUGCAUAUGAUUUCCAUCAUUCUGGGAAUGGAUUUACUAACUGAAUAUAAUUAUUAAAAUGAAAGGAUUUUUUUUAAUACAUUCCCUGUUUUGAAUAAAAAGAUCUCUGCACAUGUAAUUUUGGGAAUGAAUCACAUAGCUGCACUAUUGACCCAUAAACAAAACUCCCCUUGGGUCUGAGAUGCUUGUUUCUCUGUGCAUAACUAUUAUUUGAAUUUAUUGCACAAGAAACAUUUGGAAAGAGCAAUUAUCUGAAAAUCAUUAUUUUAUAAGAUCAACUACCAUCAUGACAGAAAAGAUAUUUAAAGUCUGUGAGCAUUCUUCAUACUCUGCUGAAUGUAUACAAGGAAUAACUGACUAAUACCUAGCUGUCUACUCUAUGUUUUUCCUUCUGUUUUGCACUGGGAUACAUCUGAAGCACAGUCAUUAGUCACCACUAAGUGACAGAACUCUAUUUGCUCCACCAGAUAACAGUGGGGUCUAACCAAACUGGCAUGAUUGCAGUGCCAUUGUCACUGGGCUAUCAUACCUGAAAAAACUCAACUUUUGAGUGUUAUGUGUGAUUUUUUUUUCCAAGCAGUGAUUUUUCCUUGGGCUAGAAAUGUUUGUAGGCACUUAUGCUGAGCACUCAAUCUAAUGUGCCAAGGAUGCACCUGAGGUUGAAGAGUCAGCUGGCAGAGCCUGGCUGGGCAGAGCCUGGCAUUUAGCUGCUAUUUCUGCUUCCCACAACCCCUUCAGAGUUUGCUUUUUGCCUGAGAGGCUGUUGGAAAGACAAGCAGAGUGCAGGAGGGAGAGUGGUGCUGCUCCUUCAGGGCUCCCAGCCCCCAGGGCUGUCCUGCAGCUGAGCUGCCUCCUUCCAGGACAGCAGCAGCCAGAGCAAGAGGAGCUCUUCCAGCUUCAGCACCUUUGUGAACUUCUAUGACAUUUGAUCUUCUUCUUCUUCUUCCUUUUUCUCUGAUAGCUCCCUCGCUAUUGUCCAGCUGACAAAAGCAUAGACUUUGAAGGGGGUUGUGAAAAUGUUAUUUGAUGGUUUCUUAAAUAAAUACUAUGCAAGAUUUUUUUUUUUCCCCAAGAGAAUCUUAUGUUUCUAAAUCUUGGGAAUAGGCAAGGGCAGAAUUUUUUGCCAAGAAAAACACAUAUACACAAAUAAAGAAAACACCAAAAAUUACAGAGUAAAGCAACUAUUGAGUUUCAUAAAUAUGAAGCACAAAAUGUCAUGGAGCAGAUUAGGCAUUUAUCAUGUUUCAUCUCAAUAAAUUGUAAGAUUUAUGUCCUUUAAGUAACUGUGAAAGGACUAAAACAAGUAAGCACUGCUGCCAGGCUGAGGGAGUGGAUCUGUGACCUGCUGCCAGCAGUGCCACUGUGCAGGAACUUGGUCAAACCCAGCCAGCCCUGAGGGGGGCAGAUCCUGAGCUGGUUGAGUUGUGCAUGUAGGUCAGAUGAAAUAUUACAGAUAAAUGCCCAGGGCAAAUCUGGUCAUUGUAAUAAUUCCUGCUGAGCAUAUUCUGAAAGCAGGAAGCAACUUGUAGAGAUGGUUUUAAUUUCAGUCUUAGGAGGCAGCAGUCAUAUCCUGCUUAGCUCCACAAUAAAUCUUUAGGACCACAGACUGGGGAGAUUAGUACUGAUUAUGAACAAGGACCCAGUCCUGCUAAUUUUUAACCUGAUGACUAGCUCUCAUUUGUGUUGCUUAUCAAUAAUUUUCUCAUCACCAAAAGUAUUUAUGUGAAUAUUUAGUGCUGUGUAAAGGUUUCUGAGUGAAAUCCUGGCCUGUGAUGACAGGGAAGAGUAAAAUGCCAAGCACUGCCUGCCUUAGAUCCUGCAAUAUUUAAAGGUAAAAACUCUCUAAAAACUAUUAUGUGGGGCCCCAGAGAGAAUGGCUUUAAUAUUUGACUAUUUUGGUAUUUUUCUUUUGAUUCUGAAAUAGGAGCAACCUAAAAGACAUUACAUUAACUACUGGAGCUGGAAAAAGCUUUCUACUCUUCACCUAUUGAAGCUGUUCAUGGUAUAACUGAUUGUCCUGGCUUGUAAAAUAAGCAUGUAUUCUUUUUUUGCCAUCUGUUGGGGGUUAGGCAGUUUUUCUUAUCUCUUUCAAGAACAAUGACACUGCCAGGAAGAUAAUCUCCUGCUGAUGGGCUAUUGAAUUACUCACUGUGGCUGGUAAGAUUAGUUACAUCAUCCCAUUGGGAGAUGCUCCACCCAGAGGGAGGAGCCAAGCAUCCCUGCCACCAUAAAACAAGCAUUUCUGAGACCACAGACAGCCUUCUUCGCUGGAUUUCCCAGAGGAAUCAGGA